rnacentral:rRNA from 1 species
UACGUAGGGGCAAGCGUUGUCCGGAAUCACUGGGCGUAAAGCGCGCGCAGGCGGCUGUCUACGUCCGGGGUGAAAGCCCAGAGCUCAACUCUGGGAUUGCCUUGGAUACGGGAUGGCUUGAGGAAUCGGAGAGGCAAGGGGAAUUCCGACGAUGUGAGCGGUGAAAUGCGUAGAGAUGUGGAGGAACACCAGUGGCGAAGGCGGCUCACUGGUCCGGUACUGACGCUGAGGUGCGAA